rnacentral:rRNA from 1 species
UACGUAGGUGGCAAGCGUUGUCCGGAUUUACUGGGCGUAAAGAGCGCGCAGGCGGUCGGAUAAGUCGAAUGUGAAAGCCCCCGGCUCAACUGGGGAGGGUCAUUCGAUACUGUUCGACUCGAAGGCAGGAGAGGGAAGUGGAAUUCCCGGUGUAGUGGUGAAAUGCGUAGAUAUCGAGAGGAACACCUGCGGCGAAGGCGGGUUGCUGGGCCGACACUGACGCUGAGGCGCGAAAGCCAGGGGAGCGAACGGG